AUUCAGUUGACGAAUCCCAAAUAAGACGAAACGUGCCUUCUAGAAU
rnacentral:hammerhead_ribozyme from 1 species